rnacentral:rRNA from 1 species
AGAGUUUGAUCCUGGCUCAGGAUGAACGCUAGCUACAGGCUUAACACAUGCAAGUCGAGGGGAAACGAUAUUGGAAGCUUGCUUCCGAUAGGCGUCGACCGGCGCACGGGUGAGUAACGCGUAUCCAACCUGCCCACCACUUGGGGAUAACCUUGCGAAAGUAAGACUAAUACCCAAUGACGUCUCUAGAAGACAUCUGAAGGAGAUUAAAGAUUUAUCGGUGAUGGAUGGGGAUGCGUCUGAUUAGCUUGUUGGCGGGGUAACGGCCCACCAAGGCAACGAUCAGUAGGGGUUCUGAGAGGAAGGUCCCCCACAUUGGAACUGAGACACGGUCCAAACUCCUACGGGAGGCGGCAGUGAGGAAUAUUGGUCAAUGGGCGAGAGCCUGAACCAGCCAAGUAGCGUGCAGGAAGACGGCCCUAUGGGUUGUAAACUGCUUUUAUAAGGGAAUAAAGUGAGAGUCGUGACUCUUUUUGCAUGUACCUUAUGAAUAAGGACCGGCUAAUUCCGUGCCAGCAGCCGCGGUAAUACGGAAGGUCCGGGCGUUAUCCGGAUUUAUUGGGUUUAAAGGGAGCGUAGGCCGGAGAUUAAGCGUGUUGUGAAAUGUAGACGCUCAACGUCUGCACUGCAGCGCGAACUGGUUUCCUUGAGUACGCACAAAGUGGGCGGAAUUCGUGGUGUAGCGGUGAAAUGCUUAGAUAUCACGAAGAACUCCGAUUGCGAAGGCAGCUCACUGGAGCGCAACUGACGCUGAAGCUCGAAAGCGUGGGGAGCAAACAGGAUUAGAUACCCUGGUAGUCCACGCCGUAAACGAUGAUUACUAGGUGUUGGUGGGUACGACCCAUCGGUGCCGCAGCAAACGCAAUAAGUAAUCCACCUGGGGAGUACGUUCGCAAGAAUGAAACUCAAAGGAAUUGACGGGGACCCGCACAAGCGGUGGAGCAUGUGGUUUAAUUCGAAGCAACGCGAAGAACCUUACCUGGUCUUGACAUCCCUAUGAAUAACGGGCAAUGCCGUUAGUACUUCGGUACAUGGGAGACAGGUGGUGCAUGGUUGUCGUCAGCUCGUGUCGUGAGAUGUUGGGUUAAGUCCCGCAACGAGCGCAACCCUUAUCUUUAGUAGCCAGCAGUAAGAUGGGCACUCUAGAGAGACUGCCGGGGAUAACCCGGAGGAAGGUGGGGAUGACGUCAAAUCAUCAUGCCCCUUAUGACCAGGGCUACACACGUGCUACAAUGGCGUAAACAAAGAGAAGCGAAGUCGUGAGGCAGAGCGAAUCUCAAAAAUAACGUCUCAGUUCGGAUUGUAGUCUGCAACUCGACUACAUGAAGCUGGAAUCGCUAGUAAUCGCAGAUCAGAAUGCUGCGGUGAAUACGUUCCCGGGUCUUGUACACACCGCCCGUCACACCAUGGGAGUCGGAAAUGCCCGAAGUCGGUGACCUAACCGCAAGGAAGGAGCCGCCGAAGGCAGGUCUGAUAACUGGGGUGAAGUCGUAACAAGGUA